rnacentral:tRNA from 5 species
GGGCCUGUGGCGCAGUUGGGAGCGCGCUUCCAUGGCAUGGAAGAGGUCGAGGGUUCGAAUCCCUCCAGGUCCACCA